AAAUACACCAUGUCAUGCCGAUCCCUACAGUUUGUUCAAAUUACUCCUACUCAAACUGUCGCACGAUCACUAUACUUGUACACAACCCAAUGAUCUGGCCAAGAUAUAUUCAUUAUUUAAAACCGGGAAAAUGAAAGUUCUGUACACAGUGGCCACACCAAAAGUCACAUACGAUGCACCUUCGAAUUAGCCGUGAUCUUUCUCAGCCGCUUGCCAUAGUAAUAAAAGAUGAUCCCACAAGCACAGAAAAGGGUUGUCAAACACAUGUUCAGCAUGAUAGCGGGAAUGAAGCCACUGCGCUGCGUCCAUGGCGUAAUGAACUCGCUCAAGCCGUAGCCCCAGAGAUUUUUGUUCACGGUAAUGGUGACGAAGAUGCUUCCGGCAAUGGGCUUGUAGCUGUCGACAGCGUACGUGCUGGAAAUAGCUGGAAGUGCAGCUACCUGAAUUCCAAUGGCGGUAUAGCCGAUUAUCACGAUUAUCUAUAGAUAUUUAGUAUUAAUCAGACGAAGAAACCAUGGAACCUAAAACAAGUAGAUUGCCGUGUAGUGGUGGUGGCUAAAAAGGGGAGAUUGUCAUACCUUCCAAUCCCAUUUGUGCUCGUACCCAAAUGCCACGACAAAGUUCCCAAUAAUCAUAAUAAUAACAUAUGGUAUCAUAGCAGGG
rnacentral:sRNA from 1 species